rnacentral:lncRNA from 1 species
GCUCGUUCUUCCACCUUCAAACAUCUAAAAGAACAAAUGCAUAUUCCAGUUCCCAACUACAGAAAAACUCAAAAAACCAUAUUCCCAUUUUAUUUUCGUUAAGUUUUUUUACACUAGCUAUUCAUUACAUUUCCAUAUAGUUACUUUACCAGUGUUCCUACAUUUUUUGCUAUAACGAGUAUCAAUUCCAACUAUUUAUCCACUCACUUCUUGUUAAUGUCAUUAACAGAUACCUAAGAUGACUGGUCCCUAUAAACUUAUCCCAGAAAUUUCAAAUGCAGAAAAAACUGGUCUGCAAAGGUUAUUAUUGCAGGAAAAUAAUAACCUAAGAACGUUUGUAACACCUCCAAUCGAUACCAAAAUUUUCUUCGAAUGGAUUUACAGGUACAUAUUAAUUGCCAUGAUAACUUCUUCAUUCCAAUUAUAACUAUUCCUCGAACUAAUGUUCCUAACUCCUCAUAAUCUUUGAACAAGGAAACAAAGUUACAGCUAUGAUCUAUGAUGCAAGCAUUACAGCUUUGGAAGAUCAACUACAACUUGGAAAGACAUACAUACUAUCUAAUGCAACCGUUAGAAAUAACACAAGCACGUUUGAAAACUCUCCUGAAGAAAAGUUUUGGACUAUCACUGGGAAAAAAAAGAAUAGAGAAAAUGAAUGAAGAUAACUUAAACUUCUUCUUCUCUAUAUAUGAAGUUACUCCAAUCCACGAGUUAGACAAAUAUAUUGUCCAGCACAUGAACAUAAGUAUAGUUCCUUAACGUUAUAAACAGUAUUAUCAUUCACUACUUGUUUUCGUCAUGUUCAACUAGGACAAUAUGUAACAAGCAAAUCCUUUCACUCUUUAUUGCAGGUGUUAUAGGAGUUGCUCUUGACAUUCACCAGAAAAGAAUCAUCCAAACCCACUCCGGCACACAAGCAUGUCUUCAAGAUAUUUUUAAUAAAUAAACACUUUCAGAGGGUAAUGUUAACAUUGUGGGAUAGCUUUGUUGAACGAGAAAGCGUCGCUAUCAUUGAAAAACUUGCAAACAAACCUGUGAUAUGGGCUACUAAUCUUAGAGUUUCUUUC